GUGGCGAACGGGUGAGUAACACGUGAGCAAUCUGCCCUUGACUCUGGGAUAACUGCGGGAAACUGUAGCUAAUACCGGAUACUUUCCUCGCUGGGCAUCCAGCGGGGAAGAAAGAAUUUCGGUCAAGGAUGAGCUCGCGGCCUAUCAGCUAGUUGGUGAGGUAAUGGCUCACCAAGGCGACGACGGGUAGCCGGCCUGAGAGGGUGACCGGCCACACUGGAACUGAGACACGGUCCAGACUCCUACGGGAGGCAGCAGUGGGGAAUAUUGCACAAUGGGCGAAAGCCUGAUGCAGCAACGCCGCGUGAGGGAUGAAGGCCUUCGGGUUGUAAACCUCUUUUAGCAGGGAAGAAGCGAAAGUGACGGUACCUGCAGAAAAAGCACCGGCUAACUACGUGCCAGCAGCCGCGGUAAUACGUAGGGUGCAAGCGUUGUCCGGAAUUAUUGGGCGUAAAGAGCUCGUAGGCGGUUUGUCACGUCUGCUGUGAAAAUCCGAGGCUCAACCUCGGACUUGCAGUGGGUACGGGCAGGCUAGAGUGCGGUAGGGGAGAAGGGAAUUCCUGGUGUAGCGGUGGAAUGCGCAGAUAUCAGGAGGAACACCAAUGGCGAAGGCACUUCUCUGGGCCGUAACCGACGCUGAGGAGCGAAAGCGUGGGGAGCGAACAGGAUUAGAUACCCUGGUAGUCCAC
rnacentral:rRNA from 1 species